GGCAGCUAGGCCGAAACGCCUGUAUUUAAAGGGAUAGUAACUCGGACUCGUUCUGCAAUAUCCCCACAAGGGCCUGACUGAGCGAGCGAGCAUGGACGGCCGCGGGGCUUUCUGGACAGUGGCCAUUCCCAGAGCCAGGCAGGAAGGCCUCGGGAGGCUGGGGCUCCCGUUCCCGGUGAAGCGGACGCCGCCAGCGCCCCAGAACCCAGGAGGAAGCACACAGGCCCCACAGAGAGUGGUUGGCAAGAGUCACUCGGGGAUUAGGAUGCCGGCCAAAUCGCGGAAUUUGAGGCUGGAAUCCAAGCUCAACAGGACUGCUGUGUGUGAAGCACUCAAGAGGGCCCCUACAACCAACCUGCCAGGAGUCGGCUCCUGAAAACAGGGUCGGAAAAGGGGUCUGGCACUCUUCCUCAUGCUUACGAGAUGGCUGCUGGAAUUCCAGGAAUCACAUGCAAAUUCUAGUCAGGAGCAAAGAGGAAGAGACACAGUGAAAAGGGGUAUACAGCGGCAGAAGGAAGCUCCUCAAAUGAACUCUGCUAGAACUCUAGCCAGUAGCUUCUCCUUCUAUCACAGUGGCCAGAACUGUGACAAGUGACCAUCCUUAGGGGAAAAAAGAUGCUGAGAAAUGUGAAUUUUGUUGCCACCUUACAUUUUCAAAGGAGUUCCAUUCGUAAGUACAGAACGCUCAGAGAAGAGGCAGCAGAUCUAGGAUAUGGAGCAGCAGCUCUUAAGGGCACAGUGGGAAGGUUUCAAGACUGAGGAGGAUCUUGGAUUUGGGUAGGGGAAGGCAGUUCACAGUAUUGUGGAGGAAAUGCUGUGAAAGAGAAAGUGGAAGGCAUGGAAGCUUAAACUUUUAAUAUGACUGGUGAAUACAAGGAUGAAGGGCAAAGGGAAUUCAGACUCAUGGUGGUCAGAUUAAGACCUUCAGCGGCUCUGUCUCCCAGCCCCACAUACCCACUUCCAUGUUCUGCUCUUUACUGAAGCUGAAAGUCUGCAACCUUCAUUCUCUGACUCCCUUACAUUUUCUUAGGCUUCUUGCUAGCUUCUGCCAAAAAGAGGCCCUGGCAGGAGAUUAGAUGGCAGGAGGCAGAGGUAAGGAUUCCAUGUUAACAGGUGCUGGAAGUUGCUGGUGUGGCAAUGAGAACUGGGCCCCGGUCAAGGCAGCACUACUUUGGUAGAUCCAGAAUCAACCAUGAUAACCGUGACAGUGUCUUCAACAGUGCAGCAGUAGACACAGGCCCCUGGUGCUGGAAUCCAAUACAGGGACAGGAGCAGCACGGAGUCACGGAACACCGUCUUGCCUUCAUGUCACUUUACCAUUUCUUCUUUCUCCCUCUUACUCUACCAGCUACCUGUGGAGAUGUUGAACCUUUUAUCUGUCGCUGUCUGCUUAGGAACAGAAGAAAAGGCAGCUGAUUGCUUGACUCAGCUUUCAGCUUGAUUUUUUUCCUUUGGCAGAGUGAAUUGGGGUCCCAGGUGUUCAUUUUCCUUUUGUAGUACCUUUCCUCAGCAUGCAAUUAAUACAAAAAGAACAAUAAACCUUAACAAAGUUUGGCUUGUAUU
rnacentral:lncRNA from 10 species